AAAGUCGUAACAAGGUCUCCGUUGGUGAACCAGCGGAGGGAUCAUUACAGAGCUUAACAACUCCCAAACCCCUGUGAACAUACCACUGUUGCUUCGGCGGGCACGCCCCGGGCGCUCAUCGCGUGCCCCGGAACCAGGCGCCCGCCGGGGGAAAACAAACUCUUGUCUUACUUUUGUAUCGUCUGAGUGGAUUAUUAAAUAAAUCAAAACUUUCAACAACGGAUCUCUUGGCUCUG
rnacentral:misc_RNA from 1 species